GAUGAACGCUGGCGGCGUGCCUAAUACAUGCAAGUCGAGCGAACGGACGAGAAGCUUGCUUCUCUGAUGUUAGCGGCGGACGGGUGAGUAACACGUGGAUAACCUACCUAUAAGACUGGGAUAACUUCGGGAAACCGUAGCUAAUACCGGAUAAUAUUUUGAACCCCAGGGGUCAAAAGUGAAAGACGGUCUUGCUGUCACUUAUAGAUGGAUCCGCGCUGCAUUAGCUAGUUGGUAAGGUAACGGCUUACCAAGGCAACGAUGCAUAGCCGACCUGAGAGGGUGAUCGGCCACACUGGAACUGAGCCACGGUCCAGACUCCUACGGGAGGCACCAGUAGGGAAUCUUCCGCAAUGGGCGAAAGCCUGCCGGAGCAAGGCCGCGUGAGUGAUGAAGGUCUUCGGAUCGUAAAACCCUGUUAUUGGGGAGAAACAUAUGUGUAAGUACAUGUGCACAUCUUGACGGUACCUAGUCAGAAAGCCACGGCUAACUACGUG
rnacentral:rRNA from 1 species